rnacentral:lncRNA from 10 species
CGCAUGCGCAGCGCUGCUGGCCCGCUCUCUGAGGAGCUUUCAAUACUUUGGGGUCAAGUUUGAGGCAGUUGUAACUGUACUGAGUUUAGUUUUGCUAAUAAUGGUAUUCUACGUGUGUCAGCCUCGUGUGGACUUCUGUAAUGACUAAUGGAUAUGUUUAUAUCCUGAGCAUUUGCUGUAGGAAUUUUAAAUGCAAUCCCAAAACUCAAGAUUACCUUAUUUGGAGAAAUAUUCGUGUUACUAUGUUUAAAAUUUAAUAGAACCAUAUUUUACCUUUCACUUUGGGACUCGCACAGGAUGUUUGCAGCUCUUGAUAUACAGGAACUAGAACGUGUCUUUUAAGAGCAUGCGGUUUUAUAAUUACGUGGAAGUAUGCUACGCAAGGGAAAAAAGCCUCUUGCUAGUGUUAAGGGUCUUCAUAAACAGAAACCGCAAGGAACCUGGGAUCUGACAGCUGUUGGAGGAAUGCCUGUGAGGAAGGAGGAGGAACAGAAGAAUGCUUUGAUGUCUUAAAUGGUACAUCCAAACUUAAGUGAAAUAGAGCUGUGAGGACAUUUUGGGGAGAAGUGACCUAGAUAAGCACUGACUGUUGCAUUCAUCUCUCUUCUUGCUGAUUGUGAUGAUUUCCUGUGCCAUAGCCAUUCAAAGUCUGCCAAAAAAGGAACACCAAAUUAAACAACUGUCUACACAAGAAAAAGUCUUCACAGGAACCAAAAAUCAGAUGAGUGAUCAUUGUACAUAGUUUUGACAUCAUAUCAAGGAAAGAGGCACUGAAGAGGGUAGGAAAGACAAUCUCGAACAGCCAACACCACCCCAACUCCAUCCAUCAGCAGCAGCUAUAUGGAAUGGAGAGAGAAUAUGUGUGCUUGCAGGAGAGACAGCUCAGUGAUUGUGGGACUUUGCAUUGGAAUUCAGUUCUGCCUGCCACAGUGGAAAGCAACAUGUGCAGAACUCAACCAGCAACCACAGAGGGAACAUUUAGACCAGCCAUAGCCAAAGGAAAAUAAUCCAUGCCAGCGUUUGGAACCUAGGUUCCUGCUAUUACCACCACUGCAGGCUAACGCUCUCUGGGGUCCUAAAUAAACUUGAAAAGCAGUCUAGGCCCCAAGGACUGCAAUUCCUGUGCAAGUUUUGGUGCUGUGCUGGGCUCAGAGCCAGUGAACUUGGGGUGCACACAACCUAGUAAGACACCAGCUAGGGUGGCUAAGGGAGUGCUUGUGUCACCCUCCCACAGCCCCAGGAAGCGCAGCUCACAGCUCCUUCUUCCCACUUGAAGAGAGAAGAGGGAAGAGAGUAAAGAGGACAUUGUCUUGCAACUUGGAUACCAGCUCAACUACAGUAUAAUAGGCCACCAGACAAAUUCCUGAGGCCCCUAUUUUAGGCCCUAACUUCCAAAUGACAUUUCUAGACACACCCUGGGCCAGAAAGGAACCCUCUGCAUUGAAGGGAAAGACCCUGUACUUGCAGGAUACAUCACCUGCUGACUAAACAGCAUUUGAGCCUUGAAAAAACAUGAGUGGUAACAAGGAAGUACUCACCACAGGCCUUGGGUGACACCCAAUGCUGUGUUGGUUUCAGGUGUGACCUAGUAUAUUCCCAGCUGUGGUGGCCACGCAGAGAGACUCCUGCUUGAGGAAAGGAGAGGGAAGAGUAAAGACGAGUUUGUCUUGCAUCUUGGGUAUCAGGUCAGUAAAAAACAAACAAACAAAAAAAACAACGGGCUUCUUUUGUUCCAGGCCUUGCCUCCUGGAUGGCAUUUUUGAACCCACCCUGGGCCAGAGGGGAGCCCACUUCUUUGAAGACAGAAACACAGGACUGGCAACAUUUACCAUAAGCUGACUGAGCAGCCAUUGGGCCUUGAGUGAACAUUGGUGGUAGCCAGGCAGUACUUGUCUCAGUACUUGCCUCAGGCCUGGGGUGUCGGUGACCACAGGGAGAGCAUCCAUCUGCUUGAGGAAAGGAGAACAAAGAAAAUAAAGGGCUUAAUCUUGCACUUGAUUGCCAGCUCAGCCAUAGUAGAAUACAGCACCAAGUAAAUUCCUAAGGAUCCUGAUUCCAGGUCCUGGCUCCCAGAUGACAUUUUAGGACUUGUCUUGGGCUUAGGGGGAGCUCGUCAUACUGAAGGGAAAAACACAAGCCUGGCUGGAUUUGCCACCAGCUGAAUAAAGAGUGCUUGGGCCUUGAGUGAACAUUGGCAAUAGCCAAGGAGUGGUCACCAUGGACCUUAGGCAAGAAACCCGGUGCCGUGCUGGCUUUGGAUCUGACCCAGCAUAAUCUCACUGGUAUUUUACUUCUUGUCCAUUUACUUUUUAGUUUAUCAUACACACCAUGUUUACUAGUACUAAAACUGUCUUAAAAUAUUGCAAUUUUGACCCUUUUUCUAAUUGACCUUUAUGUUUUUACAAGCACAUUUUAUUACAUAUGAAUGAGACUUUACUAUGUUAUAUGUAACUCUUAAUUCUGUAAAUAAUAGAUUGCUUAUCUGAAAUAUAGCUGAUAUUUGUUUCUUAAUUAUUUGGCUAUUCCCUAUAUGUUAUACUCUACUAAAGAUCAUGGGAUUUAGAUUCAGAAAACUUACUUCCUAGCUCUUAUUAUUUCUGUGAUCUUGCAAAAGAAAACAAAAAUGAACCAUUGUUUUUUUAUCUGUAACAGGAAAUGUACUUCACAGGAUUGUAAUGAGAAUUAAA